GACGAACGCUGGCGGCAUGCCUAACACAUGCAAGUCGAGCGAGCUGAUCCCUUCGGGGUGAAGCUAGCGGCGGACGGGUGAGUAACACGUGGGCAACCUGCCUCAUAGAGGGGAAUAGCCUUCCGAAAGGAAGAUUAAUACCGCAUAAGAUUGUAGCUUCGCAUGAAGCAGCAAUUAAAGGAGCAAUCCGCUAUGAGAUGGGCCCGCGGCGCAUUAGCUAGUUGGUGAGGUAACGGCUCACCAAGGCGACGAUGCGUAGCCGACCUGAGAGGGUGAUCGGCCACAUUGGGACUGAGACACGGCCCAGACUCCUACGGGAGGCAGCAGUGGGGAAUAUUGCACAAGGGGGGAAACCCUGAUGCAGCAAUGCCGCGUGAGUGAUGACGGCCUUCGGGUUGUAAAGCUCUGUCUUCGGGGACGAUAAUGACGGUACCCGAGGAGGAAGCCACGGCUAACUACGUGCCAGCCGCCGCCGUAA
rnacentral:rRNA from 1 species